UACGUAGGGACCAAGCGUUGUUCGGAUUUACUGGGCGUAAAGGGCGCGUAGGCGGCUUAACAAGUCACUUGUGAAAUCUCCGGGCUUAACUCGGAACGGCCAAGUGAAACUGUCAAGCUAGAGUGCAGAAGGGGCAAUCGGAAUUCUUGGUGUAGCGGUGAAAUGCGUAGAUAUCAAGAGGAACACCAGCGGCGAAGGCGGCUCACUGGACCGGAACUGACGCUGAGGCGCGAAAGCGUGGGGAGCAAACAGG
rnacentral:rRNA from 1 species